UGGCGGCAGGCCUAACACAUGCAAGUCGAACGGUAACAGGAAGAAGCUUGCUUCUUUGCUGACGAGUGGCGGACGGGUGAGUAAUGUCUGGGAAACUGCCUGAUGGAGGGGGAUAACUACUGGAAACGGUAGCUAAUACCGCAUAACGUCGCAAGACCAAAGAGGGGGACCUUCGGGCCUCUUGCCAUCGGAUGUGCCCAGAUGGGAUUAGCUUGUUGGUGGGGUAACGGCUCACCAAGGCGACGAUCCCUAGCUGGUCUGAGAGGAUGACCAGCCACACUGGAACUGAGACACGGUCCAGACUCCUACGGGAGGCAGCAGUGGGGAAUAUUGCACAAUGGGCGCAAGCCUGAUGCAGCCAUGCCGCGUGUAUGAAGAAGGCCUUCGGGUUGUAAAGUACUUUCAGCGGGGAGGAAGGGAGUAAAGUUAAUACCUUUGCUCAUUGACGUUACCCGCAGAAGAAGCACCGGCUAACUCCGUGCCAGCAGCCGCGGUAAUACGGAGGGUGCAAGCGUUAAUCGGAAUUACUGGGCGUAAAGCGCACGCAGGCGGUUUGUUAAGUCAGAUGUGAAAUCCCCGGGCUCAACCUGGGAACUGCAUCUGAUACUGGCAAGCUUGAGUCUCGUAGAGGGGGGUAGAAUUCCAGGUGUAGCGGUGAAAUGCGUAGAGAUCUGGAGGAAUACCGGUGGCGAAGGCGGCCCCCUGGACGAAGACUGACGCUCAGGUGCGAAAGCGUGGGGAGCAAACAGGAUUAGAUACCCUGGUAGUCCACGCCGUAAACGAUGUCGACUUGGAGGUUGUGCCCUUGAGGCGUGGCUUCCGGAGCUAACGCGUUAAGUCGACCGCCUGGGGAGUACGGCCGCAAGGUUAAAACUCAAAUGAAUUGACGGGGGCCCGCACAAGCGGUGGAGCAUGUGGUUUAAUUCGAUGCAACGCGAAGAACCUUACCUGGUCUUGACAUCCACAGAACUUUCCAGAGAUGGAUUGGUGCCUUCGGGAACUGUGAGACAGGUGCUGCAUGGCUGUCGUCAGCUCGUGUUGUGAAAUGUUGGGUUAAGUCCCGCAACGAGCGCAACCCUUAUCCUUUGUUGCCAGCGGUCCGGCCGGGAACUCAAAGGAGACUGCCAGUGAUAAACUGGAGGAAGGUGGGGAUGACGUCAAGUCAUCAAGGCCCUUACGACCAGGGCUACACACGUGCUACAAUGGCGCAUACAAAGAGAAGCGACCUCGCGAGAGCAAGCGGACCUCAUAAAGUGCGUCGUAGUCCGGAUUGGAGUCUGCAACUCGACUCCAUGAAGUCGGAAUCGCUAGUAAUCGUGGAUCAGAAUGCCACGGUGAAUACGUUCCCGGGCCUUGUACACACCGCCCGUCACACCAUGGGAGUGGGUUGCAAAAGAAGUAGGUAGCUUAACCUUCGGGAGGGCGCUUACCACUUUGUGAUUCAUGACUGGGGUGAAGUA
rnacentral:rRNA from 1 species